UGGUAGUGUAUUGGACUACCAUGGCAGUCACGGGUAACGGAGAAUUAGGGUUCGAUUCCGGAGAGGGAGCCUGAGAAACGGCUACCACAUCUAAGGAAGGCAGCAGGCGCGUAAAUUACCCAAUCCCGAUUCGGGGAGGUAGUGACAAGAAAUAGCAACUCGUGCGGGUUUCCGUUACGGGAUUGCAAUGAGAUAAGUCCAAAUCCGUAAACGAUUAACAAUUGGAGGGCAAGUCUGGUGCCAGCAGCCGCGGUAAUUCCAGCUCCAAUAGCGUAUACUUAAGUUGUUGCAGUUAAAAAGCUCGUAGUUGAAAUUCGAGUCAGUUACUAGUUGGCUUUUCGUCAGUUAGUUAAUUGAUUCUCCGUCUACAAUCCCUUUUGCGCUUUAGGGUUGCAGCUGGGCGAGUAGACAAUUUACCUUGAAAAAAUUAGAGUGUUCCAGGCAGGUCUUCGCCGGAAUACAUUAGCAUGGAAUAAUGGAAUAAGACUUGGGUCUUUUGUUGGUUUUAGGACUUGAGUAAUGAUUAAUAGGGACAGAUGGGGGCAUUAGUAUUUAAUUGUCAGAGGUGAAAUUCUUGGAUUUAUUAAAGACUAACUUAUGCGAAAGCAUUUGCCAAGGAUGUUUUCAUUAAUCAAGAACGAAAGUUAGGGGAUCAAAGACGAUCAGA
rnacentral:rRNA from 1 species